AGAGUCCUGAGAUGUUCGUGAAGACUGACUGUUUUGAGCCAACACUUUUUGUACGGGAGCCACCGUUGAUUACUGGAUUACAUGCCUUGCUUCAAGGACGUAAAAAGGUAAGCACAUGGCACCCACCUGCCGAUGCAGGUUCAAAGCAAAAGGAUCAAACGGCAUUUUCGGGAUUCUU
rnacentral:other from 1 species